rnacentral:rRNA from 1 species
UUGGGAAUCUUGCACAAUGGGGGAAACCCUGAUGCAGCGACGCCGCGUGGAGGACGAAGGGUCUAGGCCUGUAAACUCCUUUUAUGGGGAAAGACUUAGGACGGUACCCCAUGAAUAAGGACCGGCUAACUACGUGCCAGCAGCCGCGGUAAGACGUAGGGUCCGAGCGUUGUCCGGAUUUACUGGGCGUAAAGAGCGCGUAGGCGGCUCGUUAAGUGUAGAGUGAAAUCUCUGGGCUCACCCCAGAAACUGCUCUGCAUACUGGCGAGCUAGAGGGUCGAAGAGGUAUGUGGAAUUCCUGGUGUAGCGGUGAAAUGCGUUGAUAUCAGGAGGAACACCCAUGGCGAAGGCAGCAUACUGGUCGGCAUCUGACGCUGAGGCGCGAAAGCGUGGGUAGCAAACA